rnacentral:misc_RNA from 1 species
GGAAGAAGGGGAUCGUUCAGUCGAUCAAUCAAUAGAGGCUGAGGUACAAGGGGAAGCCCCAGCCCUACAUAAUGUGAGUGGAUCAGCCGCACCAGUCCCCUCAGCACCGCAGUUCCCUACUCAAUUUGCUCAACAGAUGGCUGGUAACAUGCCUACUCAAGCCCCACUGCAGACACCAAUGGUACAAUCAUAGCCUUCAGUUAGGCAGUAUGACAAGCUGAUUAAAUAUGGGGCUACUGAGUUCAAGGGGACAGUAGAUCCU